rnacentral:rRNA from 1 species
UACGGGAGGCAGCAGUGGGGAAUAUUGCACAAUGGGCGAAAGCCUGAUGCAGCUAUGCCGCGUGUAUGAAGAAGGCCUUAGGGUUGUAAAGUACUUUCAUCGGGGAGGAAAAACAAAACUAAUAAUUUUAUUUCUUGACGUUACCCGAAAAAGAAGCACCGGCUAACUCCGUGCCAGCAGCCGCGGUAAUACGGAGGGUGCUAGCGUUAAUCAGAAUUACUGGGCGUAAAAGAGCACGUAGGUGGUUUUUUUAAGUCAGAUGUGAAAUCCCUGGGCUUAACCUAGGAACUGCAUUUUGAAACUGAAAUACUAGAGUAUCGUAGAGGGAGGUAGAAUUCUAGGUGUAGCGGUGAAAUGCGUAGAUAUCUGGAGGAAUACCUGUGGCGAAAGCGGCCUCCUAAACGAAUACUGACACUGAGGUGCGAAAAGCGUGGGGAGCAAACAGGGAUUAGAUACC